CAACAAUAAAAUCGAAGACCCAAGGUCUUUCUGUAUUUCUGUGGUGUUAAUGUCUCUUCUCAUGGUGGCCCAGCCUCCUUGUCUUCAUUCAAACUUGUUCUAAAGCAGGAAGGGGCAAGGGCAGGUCAGUGAAUGAAGCUCUUCUAGUGUACUUCUCUCUUUUUAUUAGGAAGAAAAAGUGUUCCCUGAUGUUCAUGACCGGAUUCCCCUUGUAUCCCAUUGGCCACAAUGGAAUCAUGCAACCAGAUCCCAGCUGCAAGAGAGGUUGAGAAGAGUAUCAUGGGGAUUCAGAGCUGGUUCUGUCAACCUUCGAUGGGCUCCACAUUCAAAGAUACCCACAUUGUGGCCAGGCUGUCUGUGUGAAGAAAUAAGAUCAUCUGUAUUCUCAGAGUGAACCAGGACUGGAGCAAAACCUCAGGUUACACGAAACAGAGGUAUGGACCCAGGAAUAGGAGGGCACUAGGCUACCAUUGCAACCCUGCUCCUAGCAAGCCAUCCUGCAUUUUGUAUUUGGCUCUGAAUAUUAUCCUGAAAAACAGCUGUCGAUCAUCAAGAGGGACUGAAAUGGUAAAAGGACUUCACGUAAUGUCAUUUGAGAGCAGAUGAAUGGCUCCAGAGAGAUAAAAGAUAGCUUACCGUUUGUUAGAAUGAAGAGUUUUAAAAUUUAAUUUGUCAUGAUCAAAGUUCUCUAGGGAUGGAGUGAACCAACUUACAAGGUAGUAGACUUCUCAUCACUGAAGGUAUGGAUGUUGAAACAGGCUAAUUGGCUGUCAUGGGUAUUGAAGAAACUAUUUUCAGGACAGUGAAUAGGGGCUGCCUUAGUUCUGGUCACCCCAGAAGCAAAUUCUGAUCAAGGAUUUAUACGCAAGCAUGGUUGACCCUGGAACAACACAGAUUUGAACUGCACAGGUCCACUUAUUCG
rnacentral:lncRNA from 13 species